GAAAAUAAGCAAAAGCCUGAAAAUUAUAUAAAGGAUUGCCUCGAUCGAUCCCCACAAGGCUCAACAUCGGCACUGCGCAGUACCGUUGAUCCCACGGCUCAACAAUCGACAUCAUGAGGUUCUUCGAAGCAGUUUUGAUCCUCUUUCUGGUUUUCCUUUCUUUCCAUUCAGGUGAAAGCUACACGAAAAUCUGCAGGGAUAGUAAUGUUCCCAAGGAGCUGUCGUCUCCGUGCAAGUUACCACAAUGUAAUCAGCAUUGCGCAGGGCUGCACCCUAAGGGUUGGGGAAAUUGCGGAGACAAUGCCUGCCGGUGUUCUUAUCUUUGCGACAAUAAGUAAUGCUGCUUCAAAACACAAGCUCCGCCCAGCUCGAUCCAUAUACAAUAUGGCUAUCUUUCUCUCCAUUAAUAUAUAGCAUAUCUAUAUAUUACGUAUUGGUACUGUACCAAUUAAUUCUUGUCAAAGUUGGUUGCAUUAUAUAUGUUGGCAUGCUGAUCAUGCUUUAUAUAUAUAUAUAUAUAUUGUAAGAGAGAGAGAUUUGUUGUAAGUACGGACAUGGAUUAUUAUUUUUGUAAGGAAUUUGUCUUUUA